rnacentral:rRNA from 1 species
GUAGUUAGCCGGGGCUUUCUAAUGGGGUACCGUCAUUUUUUCGUCCCCCACAACAGAGGUUUACAAUCCGAAAACCUUCUUCCCUCACGCGGCGUUGCUGGGUCAGGCUUGCGCCCAUUGCCCAAUAUUCCCCACUGCUGCCUCCCGUAGGAGUCUGGACCGUGUCUCAGUUCCAGUGUGGCCGAUCAGCCUCUCAGCUCGGCUACCCAUCGCAGGCUUGGUGGGCUGUUAUCUCACCAACUACCUAAUGGGACGCGAACCCCUCCUUCAGCGGAUUGCUCCUUUGACCUCAUCCCGAUGCCGGGUCGUGGUCUUAUGCGGUAUUAGCACUUGUUUCCAGGUGUUAUCCCCCUCUGAAGGUCAGGUUGUUCACGCGUUACUCACCCGUUCGCCACUAAAAUUUAUCUUCCAUCCGAAAACUUCCGAUAAAUCUCCGUUCGACUUGCAUGUGUUAGGCACGCCGCCAGCGUUCGUCCUGAGCCAGAAUCGAACCCUGA